rnacentral:rRNA from 1 species
UACGAACUGUGCGAACGUUAUUCGGAAUCACUGGGCUUACAGGGUGCGUAGGCGGCUUAGCAAGUCAGGUGUGAAAGCCCCCCGGCUCAACCGGGGGAACUGCGCUUGAAACUGCUGAGCUCGAGUCAGCUAGAGGUACACGGAACUUCCAGUGGAGCGGUGAAAUGUGUUGAUAUUGGAAGGAACACCGGAGGCGAAAGCGGUGUACUGGGGCUGGUCUGACGCUGAGGCACGAAAGCCAGGGGAGCGAACGGGG